AUAUUCCCUUAAAAAAAAAAAAAAAAAAAAAAGGAGAGAGAGAUGUUUUAAAAAUGCAAGCGGCUUGCCCAGCUGCACACACCCACCCUCGCCUCCCUCCCCCGGCUUGCGCACACCGCACGCUCGCACUCGCUCGCUCGCCCGCGCCCGCUCGGGUGUCAAAACCCGCCGGGCACCCAGCCUGGUCCGGGCACUGCCCCUGCCCCAGCCCCUGCCCCGAACCCGCCCGGGGGUCCCGCCCGCCCCCCCUCCAGUCUCCCCCCCCGCACCCCCCACCCCUCCAUCCCCACCUCCCCACCGCCGGGCUUUUCCCCCUUGCUCUUGGCGCUGAAGAUCGGAGCCUCCCCCGCUUCCAAAUGUUGUGAUGUAUAUUGACUUCAUGGACUACUCAGACAAGUAAUGCUGUGGGGUAAGACGCUUUGGUUUGUCAUUGUUUGUGAUGCAUGCCAGGCAGAACUUCCCAGGCUCACACUAAAACUGCACAGAGCCUCAGAGAGCAGUGGCCCAAACACGUGGAAAGAGACUUUUCCCUGCUCAGAAGAAAUGGAGACUGGUUUAAGGCAAGGGAGGGUACAAGGCACCCACAAGCGGUUUGCCCGAGGGAGCAGAGCGCAUCGUUAGCAAAGCAAUAAUUCAUCUCUCCUGCUUCGCAGGGCUGCUGUACUCAGUACAACAAAUUCUCCUCUGUGGAACUUUCCAGGUGAGGAGUAAGGCUACUGAAAUGCCAGAGGACCCUCUCCUGUACCCCCAGGAGUAAUUAUGACAAAACCAAAGUUACUUCUGUGAGCAAAUCAUGCAUUUUGUGUUGGGUUUUUUGCUCUUUUCUGUUGGUGUUAAUUCACUCAAUGCUCUGGCAGCUGCCUUUGGUAAAUGGAGGCAAAAAGGAGAGAGAUAUUUCUCAAGAUGAAAGAUGAGUCUCUGACUUCCAUGGUAGUCAAAGUGGCUGUGGAAGACUGAGAGCACUGCAGUUGUUUUUAUUUAACAGCUCUUCCUGCACUCUAGUCAAUAAAUCUCUAAUCUCUUGGGCUGAAAUGUCUGACACUUAUUUGCUGGCCCUUACAUCCGUGAUCGACUGUGUUGUGCUCACAGAGCUCCACCUACAGCUGCUGGUACCCUGGAUAUAAAUUGUAUGUUCUUUAAGGAGCAGGGUGGGGGGCAUGUAAGGAUGAGCAGAGGCUUUGCUGUGCAAUGUGUGCUUCUCGUGCUGUCCUUUAAGUCAAGGGUAGUCUCCAGCAGCAACUCUUGAAGGAUGGCUUCUGAGAAACAAGGGAUAGAUUAACUCUGGCAGUGUUCCUUGCUGCUGGCACUCAGACCAUGACAUGCUGACCAAAGCUUGAUGCUCUUUGCUGCUGUGUACCUUUGGAAGACGCGACAGAAGGGGUUGCCCUUUGGUGUCUGUCCUGUGUGCCAGAGGAGGAUAAGCUAAGUCAGCUCCUGAGAGAUGUCUCCAAACAGCUCCCUCUGGCUACUACAAGAAGAUGAACCGAUGGCUUCUGUUCCCUGGAAGCUGUCUGAUGAUCACAGGCCAUUCCAUACUUCUCACUUGGCUGCCCUGCUGGUACCUCCACUUUUAAGGUGAAUUAUGCAAGAGAUGGUAUUGAAGCAUCAGACUUGCAGGAGCUGAGGAUUGGGAAGAGUCCUCUCUCAGUGUAUGGAUUCAUUUUGGGAUAAAGCCUGAGACUCUCCUGAGUUCCUGUUUCUGUGGAAAGGACAAAAAGUGGAAAGGAUCAAAAACUACUCAGUGGACUUUGGUUUCCCUGUGCCUGUGUUUGUAUCAUGUCUGAACUUGCAAAGAAUAUACUUGGCUAUUCACGAGGAGUCCAGUAAAGGCUAAACCUGUAAAUCAGUUA